AGGGUUUGAUCAUGGCUCAGAACGAACGCUGGCGGCGUGGAUAAGACAUGCAAGUCGAACGGGACAGUCUUGUAGCAAUAUGAGACUGUUCAGUGGCGAACGGGUGCGUAACACGUGGGUCACAUUCCGGGAAGUGAGAAAUAGCCCAGGGAAACUUGGAUUAAUAUCUCAUGUGGUCGCAAGACUAAAGGCGCAAGCCGCUUCCUGAUUGGCCCGCGGCCUAUCAGCUUGUUGGUGAGGUAAUGGCUCACCAAGGCAGCGACGGGUAGCUGGUCUGAGAGGACGACCAGCCACACUGGAACUGAGACACGGUCCAGACACCUACGGGUGGCAGCAGUCGAGAAUCUUUCACAAUGGGGGAAACCCUGAUGGAGUGACGCCGCGUGGAGGUUAAGGUCUUCGGAUUGUAAACUCCUGUCAUGCGAGAACAAAGCCCGCAAGGGUGUGAUAGUACCGCAAGAGGAAGAGACGGCUAACUCUGUGCCAGCAGCCGCGGUAAUACAGAGGUCUCAAGCGUUGUUCGGAAUUACUGGGCGUAAAGGGUGCGCAGGCCGCGCGGGCAGUCAAAUGUGUAAUUCAGGGGCUCAACCCCUGCACUGCGCUUGAUACUUCCGCGCUCGAACCUUGGAGAGGAGUCUGGAAUUCUCGGUGUAGCAGUGAAAUGCGUGGAUAUCGAGAAGAACACUUAGGGCGAAAGCAAGACUCUGGACAAGUGUUGACGCUCAUGCACGAAGGCUAGGGUAGCGAACGUGAUUAGAUACCCCGGUAGUCCUAGCUGUAAAC
rnacentral:rRNA from 1 species